rnacentral:rRNA from 1 species
AGGGUUUGAUUAUGGCUCAGGAUGAACGCUGGCGGCGUGCCUAACACAUGCAAGUCGAACGAAGCAAUUAAAAUGAAGUUUUCGGAUGGAUUUUUGAUUGACUGAGUGGCGGACGGGUGAGUAACGCGUGGAUAACCUGCCUCACACUGGGGGAUAACAGUUAGAAAUGACUGCUAAUACCGCAUAAGCGCACAGUACCGCAUGGUACGGUGUGAAAAACUCCGGUGGUGUGAGAUGGAUCCGCGUCUGAUUAGCCAGUUGGCGGGGUAACGGCCCACCAAAGCGACGAUCAGUAGCCGACCUGAGAGGGUGACCGGCCACAUUGGGACUGAGACACGGCCCAA